GGUUAAGCGACUAAGCGUACACGGUGGAUGCCCUGGCAGUCAGAGGCGAUGAAGGACGUGCUAAUCUGCGAUAAGCGUCGGUAAGGUGAUAUGAACCGUUAUAACCGGCGAUUUCCGAAUGGGGGAAACCCAGUGUGUUUCGACACACUAUCAUUAACUGAAUCCAUAGGUUAAUGAGGCGAACCGGGGGAACUGAAACAUCUAAGUACCCCGAGGAAAAGAAAUCAACCGAGAUUCCCCCAGUAGCGGCGAGCGAACGGGGAGCAGCCCAGAGCCUGAAUCAGUAUGUGUGUUAGUGGAAGCGUCUGGAAAGGCGCGCGAUACAGGGUGACAGCCCCGUACACAAAAAUGCACAUAUUGUGAGCUCGAUGAGUAGGGCGGGACACGUGGUAUCCUGUCUGAAUAUGGGGGGACCAUCCUCCAAGGCUAAAUACUCCUGACUGACCGAUAGUGAACCAGUACCGUGAGGGAAAGGCGAAAAGAACCCCGGCGAGGGGAGUGAAAAAGAACCUGAAACCGUGUACGUACAAGCAGUGGGAGCACGCUUAGGCGUGUGACUGCGUACCUUUUGUAUAAUGGGUCAGCGACUUAUAUUCUGUAGCAAGGUUAACCGAAUAGGGGAGCCGAAGGGAAACCGAGUCUUAACUGGGCGUUAAGUUGCAGGGUAUAGACCCGAAACCCGGUGAUCUAGCCAUGGGCAGGUUGAAGGUUGGGUAACACUAACUGGAGGACCGAACCGACUAAUGUUGAAAAAUUAGCGGAUGACUUGUGGCUGGGGGUGAAAGGCCAAUCAAACCGGGAGAUAGCUGGUUCUCCCCGAAAGCUAUUUAGGUAGCGCCUCGUGAAUUCAUCUCCGGGGGUAGAGCACUGUUUCGGCAAGGGGGUCAUCCCGACUUACCAACCCGAUGCAAACUGCGAAUACCGGAGAAUGUUAUCACGGGAGACACACGGCGGGUGCUAACGUCCGUCGUGAAGAGGGAAACAACCCAGACCGCCAGCUAAGGUCCCAAAGUCAUGGUUAAGUGGGAAACGAUGUGGGAAGGCCCAGACAGCCAGGAUGUUGGCUUAGAAGCAGCCAUCAUUUAAAGAAAGCGUAAUAGCUCACUGGUCGAGUCGGCCUGCGCGGAAGAUGUAACGGGGCUAAACCAUGCACCGAAGCUGCGGCAGCGACACUAUGUGUUGUUGGGUAGGGGAGCGUUCUGUAAGCCUGUGAAGGUGUGCUGUGAGGCAUGCUGGAGGUAUCAGAAGUGCGAAUGCUGACAUAAGUAACGAUAAAGCGGGUGAAAAGCCCGCUCGCCGGAAGACCAAGGGUUCCUGUCCAACGUUAAUCGGGGCAGGGUGAGUCGACCCCUAAGGCGAGGCCGAAAGGCGUAGUCGAUGGGAAACAGGUUAAUAUUCCUGUACUUGGUGUUACUGCGAAGGGGGGACGGAGAAGGCUAUGUUGGCCGGGCGACGGUUGUCCCGGUUUAAGCGUGUAGGCUGGUUUUCCAGGCAAAUCCGGAAAAUCAAGGCUGAGGCGUGAUGACGAGGCACUACGGUGCUGAAGCAACAAAUGCCCUGCUUCCAGGAAAAGCCUCUAAGCAUCAGGUAACAUCAAAUCGUACCCCAAACCGACACAGGUGGUCAGGUAGAGAAUACCAAGGCGCUUGAGAGAACUCGGGUGAAGGAACUAGGCAAAAUGGUGCCGUAACUUCGGGAGAAGGCACGCUGAUAUGUAGGUGAAGUCCCUCGCGGAUGGAGCUGAAAUCAGUCGAAGAUACCAGCUGGCUGCAACUGUUUAUUAAAAACACAGCACUGUGCAAACACGAAAGUGGACGUAUACGGUGUGACGCCUGCCCGGUGCCGGAAGGUUAAUUGAUGGGGUUAGCCGCAAGGCGAAGCUCUUGAUCGAAGCCCCGGUAAACGGCGGCCGUAACUAUAACGGUCCUAAGGUAGCGAAAUUCCUUGUCGGGUAAGUUCCGACCUGCACGAAUGGCGUAAUGAUGGCCAGGCUGUCUCCACCCGAGACUCAGUGAAAUUGAACUCGCUGUGAAGAUGCAGUGUACCCGCGGCAAGACGGAAAGACCCCGUGAACCUUUACUAUAGCUUGACACUGAACAUUGAGCCUUGAUGUGUAGGAUAGGUGGGAGGCUUAGAAGUGUGGACGCCAGUCUGCAUGGAGCCGACCUUGAAAUACCACCCUUUAAUGUUUGAUGUUCUAACGUUGACCCGUAAUCCGGGUUGCGGACAGUGUCUGGUGGGUAGUUUGACUGGGGCGGUCUCCUCCUAAAGAGUAACGGAGGAGCACGAAGGUUGGCUAAUCCUGGUCGGACAUCAGGAGGUUAGUGCAAUGGCAUAAGCCAGCUUGACUGCGAGCGUGACGGCGCGAGCAGGUGCGAAAGCAGGUCAUAGUGAUCCGGUGGUUCUGAAUGGAAGGGCCAUCGCUCAACGGAUAAAAGGUACUCCGGGGAUAACAGGCUGAUACCGCCCAAGAGUUCAUAUCGACGGCGGUGUUUGGCACCUCGAUGUCGGCUCAUCACAUCCUGGGGCUGAAGUAGGUCCCAAGGGUAUGGCUGUUCGCCAUUUAAAGUGGUACGCGAGCUGGGUUUAGAACGUCGUGAGACAGUUCGGUCCCUAUCUGCCGUGGGCGCUGGAGAACUGAGGGGGGCUGCUCCUAGUACGAGAGGACCGGAGUGGACGCAUCACUGGUGUUCGGGUUGUCAUGCCAAUGGCACUGCCCGGUAGCUAAAUGCGGAAGAGAUAAGUGCUGAAAGCAUCUAAGCACGAAACUUGCCCCGAGAUGAGUUCUCCCUGACUCCUUGAGAGUCCUGAAGGAACGUUGAAGACGACGACGUUGAUAGGCCGGGUGUGUAAGCGCAGCGAUGCGUUGAGCUAACCGGUACUAAUGAACCGUGAGGCUUAACCUU
rnacentral:rRNA from 1 species